rnacentral:rRNA from 1 species
AUGGGUUCAAUCACGAUCUUCCAAGAUCCGAAGUCUACCACAGUCCAGUCCACAUCUCAAGCAGUAUACUCCUAUCACCCUUUGGAUCCUAAUCGUACGGCACACGCUCGAUAUCUCGUCACAGCGAAUGUUUUCUGCUGGUCACGGUCAGCGGGUGGAAAGAAUGGGACCGGCGCCGCCGCCGCCACCGCCGGCGAGCCACCGGCCGGCCUGCUCCAUGGCCGCCACCAAGCCCUGGCACUCCUGCAGCGCGAGCUCGUCCAGCCCGCCCCUGAUCAUGGCCGGGAAGAAGAGCCAGAACCCCGUCCCGCCCACGAACGCCAGCGUGAGCGGCACCGCGGCCGCCCGCGGCGGGCGCCACCACCCGGCGUGCCGCGCCCACCACCCCUCCGCCGCGGUGCACGCCCCGUGCAGGACGAAGAAGGCGGUCACGUCGCCGCUGGGCGGCUGCCACAUGAUGUAGUAGAACAUCACCUCGUGCAUGAGCCCGGAGACGAGGAAGGACGCCAUGACCCCCGCCGAGUCGCCGAGGCGCGCGCGCACGGGGCCGUGCACCGACGGCCGGAGGAUGGCGGGCACCAUGAGGUUCCACCGCCGGCCCCAGAAGUCCCGCAGCGACGAAGCCAGGUACGGCCGGUCCACCUGCGGCUCCAUCUCCAUGCCCAGCACGCCGUGGAUCACGGCGCGCACCGAGCCCAGCAGGAGCUCCAGGGAGAAGUAGAUGUGCACGGUGUACAGGAGGACGAGCUGCCACCGGCGCAUCGCGUCCUUGAACUGGUACGCGUAGAUGAUGAAGGGGAUGACGGCGCCGGAGACGAGGAUCUUGGCCGGGCCGCCCGAAGCGGGAUCUUGGUCCUUCGCUUUGGCGGAGGCGGAGGCGGGCUGCCGGAACUUGACGGGCAGGGAGGCGGAGAACACGAAGUGGGGCAGGGAGAGGGACGGGUCCAGCGGCCCGCGGCCGGCGGCAAGGAGGAGGAGCUUGAAGGUGCCGAGCCAGCUGAGGAAGAAGGCGGAGCUGCCGCGGAACGUGGUGGUGGAGAAGGCGAAGGGGAUCGCGCAGAAGAGCGCGACGGCGGGCAGGAGCGCGGCGAGGCGAGCCGCGCCAGGGCGUAUGACCGCGGCGGACAUGCGGGCGUAGUACAUGGCCGCCCAAACCGCCGUCGUCACCUUCAGGAGGCUCCCGAGCUCGCCGUCCAUGAGCGCCGCCGCCAUGACGUGGCGAGCACAGAGGAAUCAAUGCUCUAUUGGGCCGGCCUCUCGAGCUGUGAACUACGUUGUCGGGGGGAUUCGCUCGUAUGCCUCCGAUCCGACCCCGUUCUGCUGGCGCCGCCGAGCAGAGCCGAGAUCCGGAGGAAGGGCGGCGAGGUGCGGGUGAGAGAGGGAGAGGUGGGUUGUGCUGAAAUAUAG